rnacentral:rRNA from 1 species
UAGGAAUCUUCGGCAAUGGACGAAAGUCUGACCGAGCAACGCCGCGUGAGUGAAGAAGGUUUUCGGAUCGUAAAACUCUGUUGUUAGAGAAGAACAAGGACGUUAGUAACUGAACGUCCCCUGACGGUAUCUAACCAGAAAGCCACGGCUAACUACGUGCCAGCAGCCGCGGUAAUACGUAGGUGGCAAGCGUUGUCCGGAUUUAUUGGGCGUAAAGCGAGCGCAGGCGGUUUCUUAAGUCUGAUGUGAAAGCCCCCGGCUCAACCGGGGAGGGUCAUUGGAAACUGGGAGACUUGAGUGCAGAAGAGGAGAGUGGAAUUCCAUGUGUAGCGGUGAAAUGCGUAGAUAUAUGGAGGAACACCAGUGGCGAAGGCGGCUCUCUGGUCUGUAACUGACGCUGAGGCUCGAAAGCGUGGGGAGCAAACAGG